CUUUUUUCUAUAAUACACAGAUAGAAACAGAGGAGUUCCAAAUGGUGGAAUUAUGUUCUUAGUUUCGGUUUAAAAACGAAUAUUGAAACUUUACGUUAACGGUAAGUCAUAGGAAACUAGUUUAAGGACAAAUACCUAAACAUGCUAAACCUUUUGAAAAAUCAAACGUAGUAGUACAUGUAGUACUAAGAAAGAGUUUUGUACAUGUUUUCCAAAAUAAAUUCGCAACAUAGAAAGAUUUUAAUAUGAUUUAAGCGAUCAUUGUCUUUCUUCGUUGUUAUUGUAACAAAGGCUUAAACACAUUUCCAUAUUAUAAUUUAACAUUAGUUGUCAAAACAUUAAAAAGCUGAAAGGACAUUUUCCACAAGGAAUAUUUUAAUCUUGAUACACACCACUGCUUUUUAAACGGGGAAGUAUUUUAUUUUUAAUUUUAAAUAUUUUAAUUUUAGUAUCGUCCUUGAUCACUACAAUUGUAUUACGUGACAUAGUUAAUUAAAUAAUUAAGUAGACAUGUUGUAAAGUCAUGUGUAUUCCAAUUCAGAGCAUACUUUAAAUCUGAUUAAUUAUUUAAAGACUGCAUUGCAUUUAGUUUCAUUUUCUGAGCCAGACAUUGACAGUCAUAACAAAAAUAAGAAACAAAAAAAAACCACGUGACCUGUUUGGAAACAUUAUUGAAUAUUAAAAUAAAUCAAAACUGAUAUUUUCUUUUUGGCAUUUUUUUUUACUUACCAUUAUAUUCAUUAGUUGUUGAUUAUAGUAUGGUUCAGUAGUUCGUGGUACGAAGCUGUUGAUAAGUUGUCCGCAAUAAAUUGUUUGGCAGUCCGAAUAGGAUUAUAUGUUUUCAACAUAAUUCAUUGUAUUUGGGUUUUUAACAGAUUUUCGUAACUGCAAGUACUCUUUGAUGGGUAGACAUACGUUUCGUUUUGUAGCAUUUUUUUUAAAAUUUAUUUUACACUGGCACUGGUCUCAUAAUUUCCCUCCCCUCCCCCUAUAUGCAUUAAUUUAACACAAGGUACUUAACUCGCAUUUUAGAAAAAUGGCAGUCGGUGGCGAAUUCCCGUUAUUUGCCGAUUUCUCGGCCGUCAACCCACAGGCAUUUGUCUCAGAGUUAUUUUUCCUAUAUACCGUGUUAUAGAAAGGUAUAUAGGACAAUUGUUUUUUUCUGAGACAGGUGCCUGUGUUAAUUUAGCCUAUUACAGAUUUGACGAUUGUCACCAAGAGAUUUACGACUGAUUUGUAGUUUGUUCGUAUGUUGUUUUAUUACACCACUGUUUAAAUGGUAGAUUAGCCACUCUUUAUGUGCCUGUACAAGGGGUUUCUUGCGGCUUUUUGGUUUAGAUUUGUUCAUCAUUCACCGUGCAUGAUUUAUAAAUUUGGUUUUCUCGAUUGUAUUGUUUCAUCAUAUUAAGCUAUAUAUUUUGCUCAUAAAUGAAGGCUGAACGGUGACCUGUUACACACACUUAUGCUAUAUUCUAAAUGGACUUUUGUCUUCAUAUCAUUUAAAGAUAUAAAAAGCCGUGUAUAUGAGUGCCAAUGAGACAACACGCUCAUCCAGAAUAAUAAGUCAUAUCAAUUCACGUUGAAUAUCAAAGCCAUCUGAGAUUUUAUUUCCUGUAUUAUGAAAUUUUGCUAAAAAAGAGGAAACUGAGUUUUGUUUUCGUCAUUUUUCUACCUCACUGUUCCAAUUUCCUAGCACAAAUUUCUACUUCCAGAUGGCCCGCUCAAAAAUAAAACCUGAACAAGAUGUGUGGCAGAAUUCCUUCGUUGAACAGUAUUACAAUCGAAACGAUGUUAUAGUUCCACAUGAAGAUCCAAAAGACGACCCUAAAUACAACGAAAAGAAUAGACUGAUCAGGAAAGUUCAGGAAAUUGUGGGAACCAAUGUUUCAGGAAAACCACCAUUGAAUAUUGCUAUCGUUGGUACACCCGGCGGAGGUCAAUCGUCACUUUUAAACACCAUAUUCGCUAGUUUUAGUACAGAAAAAUGGACAGAAAUAGUUCCAUUUGGAAGUUUUGGCAGAUCACAUAGACGGCGUACAACAAGAUUCACAAGGUUUGUACUAUAUUGUUUCCGCGGUACUGUGAUAGUCUCUAUAUAUAGUUAAUAUCCUCAAAAUCAAGCAUACACAUGUUCAUGGAUUACAAUUUACCAGUAAAAAGACACGUCAAUUAAAAUCUAUUUAAUGUAAUUUAACACAUAUAUUAUGCUAUGGAGAAGUAUUUGUGAAAAAUAGUAGUUGUGGGAACUAAUUUUCCUCGCCUUGCGGCUUUGGAAAUUUAACAGUUUUCUCUACAAAAUCAAAAGCACAAACAUAUCAUGACAGAAAUUCUACUUCGUAGAGACUCGCGCCCGGUGGUCGAGUGGUCUAUCGCGUCGAGUAAGGCGCAAGGCGAUUUGGUACCACGCUAUCUCAGUAGAAAUUUAAUUGUUGGUCUGAUAUAUAUAUAAAAUAAUUGCAUAUACCAUAUUCAUAGAAAUUUUACCUUUUACAUAAUUUACUAAACAUAUUUGUUUCAUUUAUUUUGUUAUAGCUACGUAAAAGAUACUUACUACAGACGAAGAGUACCAGACGCUUAUCUAAUGCCGACCUUUUUGGACAUGACUGGUUUUGAAGACGAUGAAUCCGAAAAAAAUGUGGCACUUCUCGAGAUGGUAUGUACUGGUAGAAUAAGGGAAGGUGAAGAAUUCAGACAAGCAAAAGACUACGCAGCAAACAAUGGCCCGGGGGCAUUAUUGGAAAGGUACAAUCGAGGAGUAUGUCAUCGUCCGGUUGAUCGGAUAAUUGUGGUGUGUACGUCAAAUCCUCUUGUUCCUAUGCAUGAGAGUUUUUUAAAGGCUGUGUGGAAAGCUUCAACAAAACAUAGAGGUAAUUUUUGACUUGUUACAAUUCAAAAUCAUAUAAUUUCUUUUAUUAUAGUGUUGUCUAAUCGUUGCGCGCUCUAAUGAGUUUCCGGGCUAAGUUGAUACACUGACAUUGAGUUGGGCGACCAAUUCGAAUGGGAUAAUAUCCUUUGUUAUUAACUUUGAAUGAUUUAAAGCCUUACAUGUUUUUAAACAGUACGUCUCAGUAGGCAUCGUUUAUGCAAAAACAUCUGGUGUUUUUUCAUUACACAACCGACCGUGCGAGGGCUGAAAAGCCAGUCAAGGUCGUUAAACACUUCCAUAUAUAUAUUCAUUACAAAGAUCCACUCUAGAAUAAUAUAUAAUGUUAGGGGCCAGCUUAAGGACUCAUCCGGGUGCGGGAGUUUCUCGCUUUAUGUGUGUAUGGUAAUACUGUAGGUAAAACAUGCUGAAAGUUUCAAUUUGAUACAUAGGUUGAUACACCAUGUGCAUGAGCAUCGACGUUUUUUUUUCUUUAGUUGAGUUAUUUUCGCGUUUGAUGGAAAUACCCUCUGUUGUUUAUUGAAGAGAGAUUUGAGGUUCAUGUAUUAUUUCUACAAACAAUAAACGUACGUGUACAUGUGUAGGUUUAAUGAAAACAACAUGGCGGAAAUAGAUUGUAUUAGUUGGCCACUGUGUCAGUGCAACUGAAAAUCUUCCAUGACUGAGUUUAACGGAAAAGUAGCUGAAUAAGGAAAUAUAUAUAGCAACAUUGCAUUGAUCGAUGAAAGCAACAUUCUACAUUAAAACAAAAGAAUAAUCGCGAUCGUUAAUGAAAGAGAAACUAUUAAAGUUGUUUACGUGUGAAAUUAAAUGCAGUGACAAAGAAAACCCAUUUAAAAACUGGAAUAUAGCCAUUUUUUCUGAAUUUGUUUUAAUCUUAUAACUUGGAUUUGCAAUAUCAAAGUAUGAAGUCAAUGGAUUUUUAAUAUUGUUAUGUCGGAUUUCGAGACUUUUCAUCUGUUUUUAAACACAAGUACAUGUACCAAUCUGAAACUGCGAUUUUUAUAGAUUUGUUUAAAAAAUUCCACGGCGUUGAAUUGGUAUCGUAAAAACCUAAUUUUCUAUCGACAGUUAAAAGAGGUAUUUUCUCAAAAAUACACAUUAUUUCAAUUAAGUGAACGAUUUCCUCUGAUGCAAAGUUUUACAAAAGUAGGGCUUUUUGUACAAUUUGCAUUUAUUAAUUUUACCAAUUUGUCUUCAAAAGCCCCAUGUAGUGCAAGACAGAAUUUGUGUUUAAUGAAAGUAUGCAAUUUUUUACAAAAUAUUUAGAUGUUAUACACUCUUUAAAGUUAAUUUCUUUUAAUAAAGAGUUUAAAUACAAAUGUACCUUAAUAUUUUGAUCAUAUAAGUGAAAUAAGAAGGAACAUACCUGUAGCUUUCCCCUAUCAGAAAGAAGGAACUGCAAUAUCACAUGUGUGGAGUAUGGCAAAAAUAAAGUAAGACAAUAUCCAUGCGAUAUAGAAAAACGUCAACAAAUCAAAUACAAGACUUAGUGUCGUUGAAAUUUUCGACUGAAUUUCUUUUUAUUUCUCUAUCAUUUAACAGAAAUACCGGUCUAUGGAGUAUUGACAUGCAGGGACAAAUACCCACCAGACGUCGUAAGAGACCGAAUUGAAUCAUUUCGCAAUCUCCUGGCAUUGCCAAAGUGUCGGUUUGCUCAUAUUACAAAUUACUGUGAUGACAUCGAUACUGAAGGGUUACAUUUCGAUACAACAAUCCCAUCGCUGGAUGUGCCAGUUUUACAGCUCAUGAAACAGGUAUAUAUAUUUAUUUGAUGUAACUCGUUUAAAAUUAAUAAAAAAAAUUAAAAGACGUGGCAUGAUUGCCAAUCAGACAACUCUACACAAGGGACCAAAUACCACAGAAAUUAAAAACUAUAGGUCACAGUUAGGCUUCAACAAUGAAUGGAUUUACACUAGUCAUUGUUGGGGCCCUUUAUACUGUAGCUUGUGAUCCAAGGCUAUGUGUUGAAGACGGUACAGUUCGUUGUCCUAUAAUGGUUCACCUAUUCCAAUUGUAACUUGGAUGGAGUGUUGUCACUUUGGCACUCAUACCACAUCUUUUUAUGCCUAUAUAAAAUCAUUUUAUGUCCUCUGCUUAAUUUGCUUAAUUAAGACUCAUAGACACAUGUAUGAAUAUAAGCAAAAUCACAAAGUUUUGUUAGAUGACCUCAAAGUGAUGAAUAUCAAACAAUUGAAGCGAAUAGCGAACACGCUGAUUUAUGUAAAGAAUUAGUGAAACAUGUGGUUUUUACUUAAUCUUAAUUUAAUUUUAAAAUGUAUAAAAAGUAAUGUGUGUUUUUUAUUUCAGGUUUUGAACCCACAUCAAGAUGAUCCACCACUACCAACACCAACACCACCACCACCACUGGACAUAUUGGCAAUUGUCGCAUUCAUAUUUGCUGUCAUGGCAUUUAUAUAUGUACUUUUAAUUUCGAAUCGCUAAACACGAUUGUGUACUGCUGAUUGUUUAAUUACAAUUCAUAACAUUGAUACCAAAAGUAACUUUUUAGCUCUGAGUCAUCUAAAUGGACAUUUUGUUAUAUAUAUGUGUGUGUUAACUUUAAAUUGUAGUUGAUAAAGAAUUAAAAUUAUUAAUAGGAAAUGUGCAAGUUUAUACAUCGAUGUCCAGGUGUGCAUUGGCAUCAAUUUGAAGAAAAAAAAUUUGCGCUAAAAAUGAUAAAAAAAAAAAUUGCUGAAGCAAACUCUGCCUUCCCUGCCGAAGGUCAUUAUGAUUAAGCCAAGGUCAUUAAACGUGAUAUUAAAAGAAUCAAACAAAUAUCUAAUCCUGC
rnacentral:lncRNA from 1 species